AUUGAACGCUGGCGGCAUGCUUUACACAUGCAAGUCGAACGGUAACAGGCCGCAAGGUGCUGACGAGUGGCGAACGGGUGAGUAAUGCAUCGGAACGUGCCCAGUCGUGGGGGAUAACUACUCGAAAGAGUAGCUAAUACCGCAUACGAUCUAUGGAUGAAAGCGGGGGACCGUAAGGCCUCGCGCGAUUGGAGCGGCCGAUGUCAGAUUAGGUAGUUGGUGGGGUAAGGGCUCACCAAGCCAACGAUCUGUAGCUGGUUUGAGAGGACGACCAGCCACACUGGGACUGAGACACGGCCCAGACUCCUACGGGAGGCAGCAGUGGGGAAUUUUGGACAAUGGGCGCAAGCCUGAUCCAGCAAUGCCGCGUGCAGGAAGAAGGCCUUCGGGUUGUAAACUGCUUUUGUACGGAACGAAACGGCUCUGGUUAAUACCCGGGGCUAAUGACGGUACCGUAAGAAUAAGCACCGGCUAACUACGUG
rnacentral:rRNA from 1 species